rnacentral:sRNA from 1 species
ACGAUCCGUAUUAUCCUAAAAUAACACGGAGUUAUUUUGCGGUUAUUUAUUAUUUUAGGAUUAUGCUCAAUAUAAAAUUGCGGGAAAUAACACGACCAAGCGGAAUUAUCUUAUAAAAAAGCCGAUAAUAAUAUCGGCUCAUUUCAUU